rnacentral:rRNA from 1 species
UACGUAGGGUGCGAGCGUUGUCCGGAAUUAUUGGGCGUAAAGGGCUCGUAGGCGGUUUGUCGCGUCGGGAGUGAAAUCCACUGGCUUAACUGGUGGCUUGCUUUCGAUACGGGCAGACUGGAGGUAUGCAGGGGAGAACGGAAUUCCUGGUGUAGCGGUGAAAUGCGCAGAUAUCAGGAGGAACACCGGUGGCGAAGGCGGUUCUCUGGGCAUGUCCUGACGCUGAGGAGCGAAAGUGUGGGGAUCGAACAGG